UACAGAGGGGGCAAGCGUUAUUCGGAAUUAUUGGGCGUAAAGGGCGCGUAGGCGGCCUUGUAAGUCUUGGGUGAAAUCCCUCAGCUCAACUGAGGAACUGCCUCGGAUACUGCAAGGCUUGAGGCCGGGAGAGGGUAGUGGAAUUCCCAGUGUAGCGGUGAAAUGCGUAGAUAUUGGGAGGAACACCGGUGGCGAAGGCGGCUACCUGGACCGGUUCUGACGCUGAUGCGCGAAAGCGUGGGUAGCAAACAGG
rnacentral:rRNA from 1 species